rnacentral:rRNA from 1 species
UACGUAGGGUGCAAGCGUUAAUCGGAAUUACUGGGCGUAAAGCGUCCGCAGGUGGCACUUCAAGUCUGCUGUCAAAGACCGGGGCUUAACCCUGGAAAGGCAGUGGAAACUGAAGCGCUAGAGUGUGGCAGGGGUAGAGGGAAUUCCCGGUGUAGCGGUGAAAUGCGUAGAGAUCGGGAAGAACAUCGGUGGCGAAAGCGCUCUACUGGGCCAUAACUGACACUCAGGGACGAAAGCUAGGGGAGCGAAUGGG